CCGACGCGCCGCCCAAGAAGCGGCUGCGGGCGGCCGAGGCGGCCGAGGCGGCGGCGGCGGCGGCGGCGGCGGCGGGCAGCGGGAAGCUGGAGGAACGGCUCUACUCGGUGCUGUGCUGCACCGUGUGCCUGGACCUGCCCAAGGCCUCCGUGUACCAGGUAGGGCCGCCGGCCCUGCCCGGCGCCGCGUCUCCUCGAGCCGGGCCCGGAGGCCCGGGGCCGGCAGCCGGGACCCUCUCCGGUCCUCACCUCCGCCUUCUGCGCCCGCGGGACCCUGGAGCCUGUCCCGAAACUCCUCGUUUUCUCUCUCCUCUCCUUGCUCCGAACCCCCUUUUUCCGUGUUCCGACCCUCUGUCAGUUUCAGUUUUCUCUUUCUUGUUCAGAUCCUGCCUCUCCCCUUCCAGGUUCCUUCAAGGUUCUCUUCUUGAUACCUUCCGCUCCCCUCCAGCUGACCCCGAGGAGAGCUAGAGACAGGUGCCUAUGCUCCCUGCCCAUUCUUGGCGCUGCUCCUCACUCCCAGGCUUUCUGGCACACAGGCCCCUUUACUUGAGGGAGAUCCUCUGUUCUGGCAGCCACACCCCCAAGCGUGUCCCUCCAUUUCUGAACCCGUAUACAUUUUCUUUUCUGUUCUCCAGAGCCCUGUCAAAUUCUUUCUGAAAAACAGGAAGAAGGGAGGGGACUGCCUUUUGUCCCUCCCCCAGCCCUCCUGCUCCGGUCUGGAGGAACCCCUGCCACAAGACUGGCAGUCAGGGUACUUUCUCCAGAUCAAGCCAGAGUUUCCCACCCCAGCCCCCCUCAUCCAUUCCAAGCCUGGUUUCCUUGGUCUCCCAUUCACCAUCUGAGGGAGAUCCAGUGCAGUGGAUGGACUCAGGAUCCUUGCCACCUCAGGGCUGCUUGAUGGGUACCUGGUCCAGGUAGAUCCAGAAUGUCCCCUCCUGGUUACAGAGCAGACUUCUGGUUUAGGCCCAGAGUCAGUGGGCAGUAUCAGUCUGCCUUCUCCUGAUCGUCCCACCUUGGCCCCAGCCCCUUUGAGAAACAACGUGGGUUCCUGUCAAUUAUUUUGUACUUACAGGAGCUGGAAAUGGCUGGUGGGUCCUUGCUUCUGUUUAGACAGGGUCCUGUGCGAGAGGGCCACAUAUGUAGGAAGCAGGAUAGGGCUAGUUUGGGUUGCUAUUUCCCUAGCCUCUGGGUCUCUCAGUCCUUUCUGCUCUGACCAGAGGUUGCUUGGGAGGACCCCAGUGUCCUGGAUGGGGCAACCACCUUCAUGCAUGUCAGGCUGGGGUCAGCGGGGGGAGAAUCUUCCACAGUCCUGGUCCCAGCACCAGCAUUUACCCCUCUCCUUGGGGACCAUCUGGACCCCUUUAACCCCUAGCCCAUUUUUUCUUGCCUACAGCCUCAUGGUCCCCUCUGCUGGAAGAGCUUUUCCUCUCCUUGGCCUUGAGUGAGAGCCAAGUCAGUAGUGGGGAGAUCCCAGGGAAGUCAGGGGUAUCCUUGUCUCCCUUCCUGUGAAUGGUCCGGAGCUGGACUUGGCAUGAUGACAGGCCACCCAGUACUGGCUUCUAGUGUACACAGCUCUGCUUGUGGCCAGACAAGCUGGUGACCAGGCCUCUGAGCCUGGCUGGUUCAAACUAGCCUGUACUCUGUUCAGAGUAAGCUCUGGCCUGGGCAGCUAGAGGCAGGGCAGCUGAGCAGAUGUAACAGCAUGAAGUCCAGGGUUGCCCUGACUAGUGCCCUGCCAGGUGAGGCUGCCCCGUGGCUUCCCUGAGAGCAGACAAGCUGAGCAUGGGGAGCCAUGGAUACUGACACUAAGUUGUGGGCUCUGCCACAAGCCUCCAUCCCACCUUCAUUCUUCCCAGGUGACACUCAGAGCAAGAGUUUCUCUCUCAUCUCUAGAAGUUGGGAGAAGGAACUAGAAUAUGUAGCUGUAGAAGAGCCUUUGGGCCCUGUGACGGAACUUUGGCUGCUUAUGGACUUGCUGUGUGAAAUGGGGAGGGGGCCAGGGGAAAGAAGGAAGCGUUCCUAUUGCCUCUGAAUGCCACUGGGGACACUUCCCAUGGUGGUUCCCUGCCAUGUACAGUGACUCUGGAGGUUAAUUAUUGCUGUCCCCACCAAGUCGUUGUGGGUCAGGACAGACCAUGCUCUUGCCUGGUCUUUCCAAAGGUUCUAGGCACAGAUGGAGUGGGCAUGCCCCUAGUCAGGGCCUACUGCUGACCACUACCUUGGCUUGGCCCCUUCAUCUUUUGCUAGCCUUCAUUGAUGACCCACAUUGAUUGGCUGUCUAUCGUGAACAUUGAUUGACUGUCUAUCGUGAACCAGUCUUUGCCUUCUUGCUCUCUGCUCCUCAGGCAACAUUUUUCCCCCUGCUGCUGGGGAUUGGACCUGAGGGCACUUUACUACUGAGUUACAGCCUCGGCCUUUUAAAAAAAAAUUUUUUUUGUUUUGUUUUGUUUUUAAUUUUUGAAACAGGUUCUCACUAAGUUAUCAAGGCUGGUCUUGAACUUGUGAUCCUCCUGCCUCAGACUUCCAAGUUACUAGAAUUACAGGUGUGCAGCUUGGGUCCUGCUGGCAACAUUUUGCCUGAUCCCAGCAGAAUUCAUGGCUGGGAAUGGGCCUCUGCCAUGCCUAGUGUCCUGAGGGCUGGCUCAGGCACUCUGCUCUGACAUGAGGAGAAGAGGCGGUGGCCAUGCUGAGCCCUGUGUGUUGUAUCUCACUCUGGGUUAUGUGGUUGGCUGGUUACAUGGCAACUUUAGAAUAUAUUACCUGGCAGCCAGGCACCAUUUGUGGUGCUAAGGAAGCUUUGGGUAUUGGCAGAAACAGCCAUGAGCCUCAUGCAUGUGUUCAUCUACCUGGUUCAAAACUGAGUCCUUGGACCCACAGGGCCAGCUUCCCCAUGGGCCAGACACAUACACCAACAUGUAUCAGGUUGGGCAGUUUGUUAAGGCCCUCAAGCAAAUGGUUCUCGCUGCUGUGGCCUAUGUCAUGUCGGGUUAAGGGCCACUGCAGGGAUGGCCGAUGCAUGCUUUGAUGUUCUGUGUGGGUGAUAGGUGUGUCCUGGGCAACUGGCCUGGCGAGGUGUGCAGCCACCUUCCUGAAUCCUGGGCAAGGCCCUUCCGAAGUUCCAGGCAGGCAUCAGGGCAGGCAACCAGGUGUAUGGCAGGAGGGCUGGAGGGGUAGCAGCAACAACCAUUCAAGAGUUUAGGGGCAGGACAGGAAACUUAUGCUGACACCCUGCUCUGGAUACAGUCCUGGGCCCCAAGGGCAGUAUGACCUGUUAGCACCUCUGCCUAUGAAAUACCUUCUCUGAGGAAGACCCAGCCUUGGUGUGGUACCCAGGAUGUUACAACCACAGCCUGAUUCCUGACCUCCCUAUCCCAGCUCUCCUGGCACAACCCUUUAUAGAAGGCUCAACUUGGUUCUCCCUAAGGCAGACCCAGUCCCAGCCCUUUGUCUGGAUGUCUGUGAGGCCCAAAGCCUGAGUCUUGACAUCUGGAGGAAGACAGUACUUUUCAUUUCUACUCCUCAUGAACUUUGAGGUACAGGAGUCAGUAGGUGGUGGUCUUUUAUCAUGGGAUGUGGUCCAGCCUCCAUCUGGUGUGACCAUGGCCUUCUGGCAUGCCCCAUUGUUGCUCUAGCACACCUUGAGCUGCUCUCCAUGUCACCCCUCACAUCUGCUCUUCUUUUGGCUUGUCUGAGGCAGUGCCCCAUGUCAAGACAUUCCCCACUCCCUGCCACAAAGGUGCCCAUCCCUCCCUAGUGCCUGAAUCCCUCUCAGCCCUGAGGGAGGGUGGUAUGUUCUGCUGCCAUCCCACUCCAAGACCUUCUGCCUCCAUGCCAAGUCUCGGCUCUGGGGACUUUUACCUGAUUGAUAGUCCUAUCGAUGAAAGGCCCAGAAAACAGGUACUGCUCCAUCUCUGCCCACAGUCCCUCACUCCCUGAGAACAUGUAGCAGCUCAGGCUUCAUCAUUCACAUGGCCCAUGAGCUCAGAUACCACUGAUAUUUUUUUCCUUGAGACAGGAAAGAAUUUUGGAAAUAAGUCUGCUUAGGUGUCCAAAACCCAGGACUGAGCAAGGAGGGUUUCUGUAGUUUCUAUAGUCUAUGUUGUUCUUUUUGUGGUGAUAGUUUAUCAAUAUAAGUCAUUUUAUUAUUUGUAGUAUUGGGGAUUGAAUCUAGGGCUUUGCACAUACUAGGCAAAUGCUCAAUCAGUGAGGUAUGUUCCCAGCCUUUUAAAAUUUAAUUUAAUUUAGUUUUGAGGCAAGGUCUUACUAAGUUGCCUAGACUAGCCUUGAAUUUGUUAUCCUCCUGCCUUAGCCUCCUGAGUUGAUGGAAUUUCAGGCAUGUGCCACUGCACCCAGGUUUAAAUUACUUUUAAGCAGUAUUUGCUACUGAGAGCAUUUCUAGGUGGGAUGGGGGUGAGUUGCUGAGCCCCACCUGAAUUUUGACAUCAGGAGGGGAGGUCAGAUUUCAUCUGAUUCAGUAAUUCAGAUCUAGCCUGAGUGGAAGGUUUAAGUCCUGCCUUCUCCCUUAAUGAUUAUGUGGCCUUGGACAAGGAACUAGUCCUGCUCAGGUCCAUGCUAAGGAGGUUAAGGAGGCUUGGUUGAGUGUGGGAUAUGUCCCAAAGUACCACUGUGGUUGUUAAAGCCUUGCCUACACUGGGAGGCUCUUGGGAGGAAGGAGGCACCUCCAACUACUGAGCAGUGCUUUAGGGUUAGUGUCCAAGGGGAAAUCCCUCAGCUAUAUUUUGGUAUUGUGACCUCUGCAAAGGGCUGUGGGUCUCUGACCACAGGGCAGAAGGGUAGACUGUUCACAUGGGUCUGGGUAGUGGAAAGAGUGGGUCCCCAGGGUUUGAAAGGAUCAUGUGGUACAGGGUGGAAAGAGGUCCUAAAAGGCCAGCUGACCACAGAAAACUCAUGACCAACUGGAAGUCGUGGGGCCCCAUCUCUAGGACCUGCUUGUGGCCAGGCUUCUCUUUGGGCUGGGACAGGGCCACUUAUAUGAACUCCGGGUAUACACAGGCUGAGCACAUGUGAGCUGCCUGCAACAAGGUGGAGAGAAGGGCUAGGUGCUGUCCUGGGAUGUACAGGCUAUUUCUAGGUCUUCCUGGGCUCUGCUGUGGAUGAUCAUAAGGGUGGUGUAUGUUUUGAACCUGCUGUGGUCUGGCUCCCCACCCUUGCCACCAGUCACUUUAACCCUCUUACCUCAUUAUAAUCAUCACCUUGUGCAUGUGAGGAAACUAAGAAGAAAAUUGAUGAGGCUAAAGUCAUGCUGCUGUUGACCUUGGUCAGGGGUCUGAGUCCAGAACUGUGGCUCCAAGCCAGCAUCUGCCCUAGGAGGGAUUGCUUGGGAGGCCCUGUAGUGUUGUUCUGGAUUGCAGGUACAAGUCCUCCUGGCUGCUGUAGGAGGGCAACCUGACCUGCGUUCUGGAGGUACCUGGGCUCUUGGGUGCCUGACCCUACCAUGUUGAGUGAGCAUUGUGUGUAGUCAUUGGGUGGGGCCCAGCUUCUGGCUUGGCAGUGGGCACAAAUCAAGGGGCCAUGUACAGUCUGGCCCACCCACUGCUGAAACUGUGUGGCUACCUUAUGGCCAGGCCUAUGUGUGUUCAGGAGGUUGACAGAAGACAUUAGGGCAUAGUGACCACCCUGCUGUGGUCAGACUGUCUGAUCUGAGAGUUUACCUGGAGAAUGUCCCUUAGCUGGUGAGGGGCUGUGUGUGGGUGUGACUUGUCCAGUAUGCCAUAGAACAUCUUCAGCUGAGUAGUUGUCAGGGGUGAAGGGGCAGUGACCCCAGAGCUUACAGAUCCCCCAGGAGGCCCAGAGGGAGACUAAAGAGGGCAGGAUUAAUACCACCUCUCCCAUAGUGAGGAAUUAACUACUUGUUUUGGGGUCUGUGGCCAGGGGUUGGUAGCAAGUGUGGUGCUGAGAAGUCAUGGUGCUAUGCUUGGCAGCCUUGAUACCCACCUGGCAGGACCCAGGAUAGCUGGGGUGCUUAUAAUCAGGAGGAGAGGCCCAGUGGGCCAGGAUGGGGGCAAGUGGCCCCAGCCCUGCUUGGAACUGCUGGGAAGACCAGGCUGUAGCCAGCAAUACUGUUGCCCUCUCCUCAGGCUGGUGGACCCGGGAGGCAGCUCUUAGCUGGGCCCAGAGCUUCAUCCAAGGCCUAGGUAGCCUCAAAGCAGGGGACUCGUGCCAGUUCCUUGUGGGCUUCCCUCUUGAGGGAUGCCUCAUGGUGCUACAUGGCUGGCUCCCCUCUGAGGAUGCAACUUGAGGAAUAUGUGGCCAUCUGAUACUGUGCUAUGUCCUGCCCUCCCUGGCAGUAUCAGCAGCAGCCCUUGGACCAGACAGUCCAAGUAGGUGGGGGCAAAGAGAGGCCCUGUGACCUGAGCCCUUGUGCUACCCACAUUCCACACCCCACUGACUCCUGGGGCUAUACAAAGCAACCUGGUUUUCCCACCAGGACUUGCCUUAACCCCCUCCUCAGCCAGCUUCUAUGUCUGGACCUGCUGCUGCCUGGCCCCUGCUAGGUUCUCUCAUCCAGGCUGCACCCAGCCAGUCACUCCUCACUCGCUGUAGUGUGUUUUAAUUUCUAACCUAACUUAGAGCAUGAGACUUGAAUGCAGAUGAUGUGUGGUGUUUUUCUAGAUGUGGUUUCUGUGGCAGUACUCUGUUGCCAUCAGUCCUCAGCAUGUAGGUUCCAUCAGGCCUGGCCUGAGAGGUCCUGCUGAAGCAAUAGAAAGAUAGCAAGGAUUCACUAAGGACCCCACCUGUAUAGUGUGAUCCCUGGCAUAGCCAGGUGGCAGCUUAUGAACAUCCUUCUCCCCAGUGCACACUGUCUAGAAGCUGUAGUGUGAUGGGCUUGGCAUAUGGGUGUCUCUCUGUCUUCCUCUGUGCUGCUGGCAUGGAACCAGUGCCUCUACAGGCUAGACACGUGCUCUCCCACUGAGCUAGACCCCAGCACCUGGGCCUCCCCUCUCAUACUGUGAGCCUCUUGAGGUCUUCCUACCCCAAGUCCUUUGAUGGCACCGUGUGAUGCUCAGAGGUGUAUGUUGAACAAGUGAGAGAUGCAAGAUGGGAAUGAUUGUGGCAGCACUGUCCACAUGAGCAAGGUCCCCCCAGCAGGAGCGGUCUGGCUCUUGCUGACCCAACACAGUACCAUGUUCGCUCACAGCCCCCAUUCCUACCUGCCUCCAUCCUGGGUCAUCCUGGCCUCCUGCCUGCUACAGCUCUAUGUCAUUCUGGUGAUAGAUAGCCCCAGCAAGUAGCUCCUCUUUCUGGGCAAUCGCAGCUGCUGGCUUUCACCUGUGCUCACUAGCAAGGGCUGGCAUGAAGAACCAGGGUUUAGGUCACCCUGAGGGCCCUAGUCCCCACACGAGCAGCGUUUCAAGAAGGCACAGAGAGAGAGCCUGCUGCAGUGUGUGGGGAGCAGCUUCCACUCCCCAAUGAGACAGCUGCUGGCUGAGGGCCUCUGCCUUGCCAGGCCAAGAACCAGAUGUUCUUAUAGGACAGGGCAAAGGAAAACUCCAGGUUCUAAGACCUGGGUUUGCCAAAUCAAUCUCCACCAGUCAGGCUUGCUUCAGGGAAGAGGCGGAACCCCCAUGACCUGAUGGUGCCCCACAGAGCUCAAGCUGACUGAGCCCUGGCACCCCCUGGAGCAGCUGUUACAUUUUCUAGACACCAACAUGAACUGGGGACUGGCGUAUGCUCCCUCCUCUCCUCACCAGCUGGAGUCCCUUGGGACAACUGUCCAAGCUGACGCUACGGGAAAGGGCGGGCACGUGUGUGCGCGCGUCCUGCAGGUCUGUGAGCUUCAUCUCCCUUUCCUUCUUCACAGUGUACUAAUGGUCACUUGAUGUGCGCUGGCUGUUUUAUCCACCUACUAGCAGAUGCCCGGCUGAAGGAGGAGCAGGCCACAUGCCCCAACUGUCGUUGUGAGAUCAGUAAGAGCCUCUGCUGCCGGAACCUGGCUGUGGAGAAAGCCGUGAGCGAGCUGCCCUCAGAAUGUGGCUUUUGCCUGCGCCAGUUUCCUCGUUCCAUCCUGGAGAGGCACCAGAAAGAGGAAUGCCAGGACAGGUAACCACUAAGGCUAUGGGCUCCACCACACAUGUGGGGCCCAGGAUGGGGCUGGAAGCCCACCCUGGUGCAGGCAAGUUCCCUCCCAGGACAGGCUAGUUUGUCCUUGUUGUCUGGGCCUUGGGUACCGUAUGCAACAUAACAAACCUGUAGGCCCCAGGGUGGGGGGGGGGGGCGCAUGGGGCUUCCCAUGGGACAGGGCAGGUUCUGUGCCCAUUUGCUAUCUAGACAUGACCCUGACCUUCAGGGUUCUCUGGCCAUGGGGUAGCCCCUCAGAAGGCCCAGGACAGUGUGGCCAGCUCAGGAACUCUAGAAGCUCUGCUCUACAACAUGGGCCCAGUAGGUGGACAGGGCCGCUCAACCAGUGGAUCCCUAAUACCAGGCCUACUCUGUAAUGAUGUUGUGUGGGACCAUGACAGUGGUCAUUGGCUCCUUAUUAUGAAGAAACACCACAGCAGUGGGUACAAAAAGCAUGCUGGCUUAUAGCUCUCUCACUCCCCCCCCCCGCCCCCGCUCUCUAUUUCUGUCUUCUUCUCCUUCCCUCUUUCACUGUCUCCCUCCUCCCUCCUCCUCCUCCUCCUCUUCUCUCUCUCAAACACACACCACAUGUGGGCAUGCAGGUACAACUGUUCUCUGAGCCUGUCCUUGUGGCUGGGCUCAGGAUUAAGUAUGUCCUGCUGGAAGAGGUUUUUGACUGAGUAGAAGCUGCCUCUGGGGGAUAGCUGGUCACAGCCACCUGCUUCUGGCAUAGAUGUGACCUCAGUGUUCACCUUCUCCCAGGGUGACCCAGUGCAAAUAUAAGCGCAUCGGCUGCCCAUGGCAUGGCCCUUUCCAUGAGCUGACAGUGCAUGAAGCUGCAUGUGCCCACCCCACCAAGACGGGCAAUGAGUUGAUGGAGAUCCUAGAUGAGAUGGACCAGAGCCACCGCAAGGAAAUGCAACUCUACAAUAGCAUCUUCAGCCUGCUCAGCUUUGAGAAGAUUGGCUACACAGGUGAGGUGCCCCACUGCCCUCUGCAUGCCACACGGGUAUGAACUGGGGAUGAUGCUGGUGACCAGAAGCUGGGUAUUGGGGACAGCAGGCUCUGUGCAGUGGGCACAGGCUGCGCCGGAUGGCUAGGCUCUGGACAACCUCCAGGUGGACAGGAGGAUAUCUCAGGGAAAAAAAGAUAGGUCAGGUCGGAGACUGAGCAGAGGGAGGGGCCAACAGGGCCUAGGGCAUACCUGCAUGGCUCUCACAGUAGCCCCUGCCCCUGUCCUCCCCACCCUGGCCUACCAUCCCAGCAAGCUGGUAUCACUGUGUGGGGCUCCACUGCCUUGGGACAGGUGGGGUCUAACCAGGAAGCGGGGCGUGUGUUAGGGAAGCCUGGGAACUCAGGGCUGCCACUCAGAGCUGGAGCAAGAGGAGCCUCCAUCAGGUCAGGCCCUGUCGGCAGACCUCACUGAAGCCACCACAGGCCUCCCAAGGCUGGUAAGAAGCUGUUCAGGGACAGGACUCCAGAGCAAACUGAGGGCACCCAGCUCAGGCUGUAGAACCAGGAAUGGAUGUCCACAGAUGGGCAGACUGGACUGGGCCUAGGCCCACUGGAUCUUGUGGCUCCUGGGCUACUGCUACCACCUUUGAACAUUUCGGAAAGCAGGAGUCAGGCUGGAGCCUGGUUCAGAGGACAGCAAGAAGCACCUGCAGACAAUGGGACACUCAGGGAGACCCCAUCCCUCUACUGCUCAGCAACACCAGGUGGCCAGGGCAACCAUGCAGCCAGUCACACCAUGCUGCCUAGACUGAGCUUGGCUGGGUAUAGACCUGAGCAGGCUCCAGAGGCUGAGGGCCCAGGGGGCUACAGCAGCAGAAAGCCACAGCCCCUGGUUAAGAGCAGCCUCAGCUGAUCGGACAGGCCCUGUGGGGUCUGGGUGGGCAGGGGCAUGUGGCUACAUCAGUGGCCAGGUAGGAAGCCCCAUCCAUGCAGGAAGGACUGGUUGCCUGGGAACCCACACCUCCACAGAGGGACUUGCCAGCCACAGGCUGUGGGUACAAAAGAGGACUGCAAAAGCAGGUCUGCCCGCUGACUGACAGCCCCAGAGAUGCCAGGCAGAGCCUGGUUGCAGCUGGACACCUGAGGACCUGGCGCUCCCCUCGGGCAGGACUGGGUGCCACUUACUCACCUGCCGGCUUUUCUGGCAGCUCUGUAUCCAAACCAAUAAAGUACACUUGUUCUCAGAACUGCA
rnacentral:lncRNA from 1 species